rnacentral:rRNA from 1 species
UACGUAGGGUGCAAGCGUUUAAUCGGAAUACUGGGCGUAAAGCGUGCGCAGGCGGUUUUGUAAGUCUGUCGUGAAAGCCCCGGGCUCAACCUGGGGAAUUGCGAUGGAGACUGCAAGGCUUGAAUCUGGCAGAGGGGGGGUAGAAUUCCACGUGUAGCAGUGAAAUGCGUAGAGAUGUGGAGGAACACCGAUGGCGAAGGCAGCCCCCUGGGUCAAGAUUGACGCUCAUGCACGAAAGCGUGGGGAGCAAACAGG